rnacentral:rRNA from 1 species
GACGAACGCUGGCGGCGUGCUUAACACAUGCAAGUCGAACGGAAAGGCCCUGCUUUUGUGGGGUGCUCGAGUGGCGAACGGGUGAGUAACACGUGAGUAACCUGCCCUUGACUUUGGGAUAACUUCAGGAAACUGGGGCUAAUACCGGAUAGGAGCUCCUGCUGCAUGGUGGGGGUUGGAAAGUUUCGGCGGUUGGGGAUGGACUCGCGGCUUAUCAGCUUGUUGGUGGGGUAGUGGCUUACCAAGGCUUUGCCGGGUAGCCGGCCUGAGAGGGUGACCGGCCACGUUGGGACUGAGAUACGGCCCAGACUCCUCCGGGAGGCAGCAGUGGGGAAUAUUGCACAAUGGGCGGAAGCCUGAUGCAGCAACGCCGCGUGCGGGAUGACGGCCUUCGGGUUGUAAUCCGCUUUCGCCUGUGACGAAGCGUGAGUGACGGUAAUGGGUAAAGAAGCACCGGCUAACUACGUG